CUCGAGUGGCGAACGGGUGAGUAACACGUGGGUGAUCUGCCCUGCACUUCGGGAUAAGCCUGGGAAACUGGGUCUAAUACCGGAUAGGACGAUGGUUUGGAUGCCAUUGUGGAAAGUUUUUCGGUGUGGGAUGAGCUCGCGGCCUAUCAGCUUGUUGGUGGGGUAAUGGCCUACCAAGGCGUCGACGGGUAGCCGGCCUGAGAGGGUGACGGCCACAUUGGGACUGAGAUACGGCCCAG
rnacentral:rRNA from 1 species